rnacentral:lncRNA from 1 species
AGCCCCUCCUCGCGCUGCCGCCCGUAGCCUCCUCGCGACGCCGUCUGCAGCCUCCUCGCGAUGCCGUCUGCAGCCUCCUCGACGUGCUGCCACCGGCCGCAGCCUCUUGACGCGUAGCCGCCGCCUGAAAAGCUGGAUUUAACCCCGGCAGGUACCUCUGUGUUGCGCUACCCGUUCCCCUCCGCGUCGCCCCCUCACGUUCCCAUCCGCGCGUCGAUUCUAGGAUCUCGGCCAUGGAGUGCUCCUCCUCCAUGGAUGGAUGUAGUGGAUGAUGUUUUGCUCUUGAUAAUAUUUUGUUGUUCUAGAACUUUAAAUAUAUCGUAUCUUGAAUUCCUUUUUGAAAUAAUAAGUUUGAUUGCCAUGGUCUGCUCAGGAUCGACUAAUUUCAAUGUUUGAUGUGCACUUGUUGGCAAGAGCAGAUGAUUCUGUGCUUUUGGGUGCAUUUGUGUAUAUUAGUAUGUGUUAAUUCAUUGAGAGAACUGGAGUACUAUAACAUAGGUUGGCCUAUGUAGGUUUAUUAGUCACAUGAAAAUAAUCUGACUCCAAAGCUCCACCAUCCUACAGCAUACUGAACUUUUCAGUAUGUGAGCAUGGCUUUAUAAUCCUGGACGAUUGUUACAUAUUUAACAGUCAAAGAAACUAUUGGUAUGAAAUUCGACAGAGACUUCUGAUGAGUUCUAUAGUAGCAAUCAUGAGCUCAGUGUUUUUCGUUUAUCAAUUUUUGAAAUUGGAGUUCUGUAGCAAGCAAACUGAUUGUAUGCGAUGAUAGAUAGGUUACGUAGUAUGUGGACACGGUCACAUGGAAGUGUCGAGACCUAGCCGACCCAGUCAAGAUAGACUUUUACCUAGAUCUUCAGUGUAUGGAUAAUCAAUCUAAAUUGCAAUACCAUAUUUCAGUAAAUCUCAUGAUUUAUGUCUGUAUAUAACAGGUGAUUCUUUAGUAAAUAUGCAUACCAUACUGAAUCUUAUUUUUGUGAAUUGCCACAGCAGUAUUAUCUGUAGUUUUGGGAUGGCAGUACCAAACUGAAACUGUGUACCUAAACCAUCAUCACUUCAGAAGUACUAGCACUCAUGUUAACUGUGGCAAAAAAAAUUGAACAUGUUUUUCUUAUGAUAAUUGUGCUAAAAUAUCACAUUCCAUGAUCUCUUUUUAGUAUGGGUAGCAAGAAUUUACACUUAACGCCGAGCAGUUCAUCUAUGCUUCAAUGAUGUUUGUGUGCCGGGCCAUAUCUAUCACCUCUCUAAGGUUCAAAAGCAACUCCUUUGCAAAUUCAUGGAACUUCUAUUGUUAUAUCACCUUGUUUUCUUCAGUAUCAUCAUCUUUUUUUGGUCUCACUGAAUCAGGUUAAGAAGUGGAACGAGCAGAGGGAGAAUGGGAGAUUUGCAGGGCCCCUCUAAAUCAUCCAUUUGAGAUUCUCCUCAGUUGCUUUUGUGUCAGUGUUAUUGCUGUCUUAUGUUUGAAUUUGUGCUCCUGUAAUGUACUCUUUUCCAGCAAUCGUUGGAGAACAUAUGUGAUGUUUUUCUGUUGCACAAAUAACUCGGCAUGCUUAUGUAUUUUGUUAUCCAGUAUACUUAAAUGUACGCUUUCCCGGGACUUGCGAAUGCACAAUUAUGUUGUUGUGAUGUGACUGCACAAUCAUGUGAUGAUAUAUUGAUUCCAAGUCAAGGAAAUUAUGUUGUUGAUGUGAAGAAUUGUUGGAAGAUUCGAUUUUUAACUGUUCUAUAUACCAUUUUAAUGCAAUAUGACAAUCCCUCCUUAUCAAACAAUGCUCUGCAUGGAGGGGGUGUGUGGCUAGAGGGGG